GCCCGGGUGGCUCAGUCGGUUGAGCGUCCGACUUCGGCUCAGGUCACGAUCUCACGGUUCGUGGGUUCAAGCCCCCCAUCGGGCU
rnacentral:tRNA from 1 species